GAGAAUCGAUAGACACAAAUGACCGUUCGAGUACACGUGUUCGUGAACCGGCGGAUUUCCCAGAAACACCACCUCCGGUGCUUCGAUGGGGUAAUCACUGGGAAAGCGAAAUCGUAAACGGUAGACCUCACCUGCGUAGAGCGUCGACUCGACGCCGCGCAGGGAGACAAACCACUCGUCGAGGCGCGUCACCGGGGUUUCCAGAAAGAUGGCCGGCUGUGGGUUACUCUCCGCGGUCCGCCCCGAAAGGUGCCAGUCCGAGAGCUCUUUAUGCAGACGACGUGUUGCCAUAGGGCUCAUGCGUUUCGGUGCCUCGGGGAACACGAGGGUCGCGUCACGAGCAGCUGCAGCGCCCACGGACGCGUGACGGCCCUCAGGUGCGCGUGUUGCACCCCUGCCGCUCGGUGUUAUCUGCGUGGUUUCCUUCCCGCUGACCGCCGACCGUGUCUCCAUGACACGAACUGCUUUCAGUCAACUCAGACGGAUACCUCGCUGCACCGCUGCACUGAAGUCGACGCCUACCCGUUUUAACGCGCUUCUGUGCACAGAGCGAUACCCGCUGCCUAGAUCGCAUGGGGCAGGAGGGCGGCGUCUCGACGAUCGACCGGCCGUGCGCUUUGCGGAUCCGUUCGGUGAACGCGGGUUUGCGUUCAGGUUUCACGCCAAGCACGAGUACCAAGUCGAGUGUGCUGAGUUAGCGGAUGAGUUGUCGGUGAACUGGCAAGUGAACCAGACAGAAGAUCGCUCCGGAGCUUCAGCGCAGAACCUUGACAACGACUGGCUUCGCGAGGUGGCCGUGCGAGCGCUUCCCGACGGUGCGCAUGGACGCGAGCACGACACGGUGUACCUCACGGUUCGGCAGGGCGUCACUGUCGACACGUUGUACGGUGUAGCUUGUUACCGAUAGCAUCAGAUGGACUGCAGUCGCAUCGCUAGCGCUGAGGAGGAGGCUGUUGCAACAGCCCGAGGUCUCGUCCAAAAGUCUGUGCUACUGUUGAGUCGUUGGCCGCUGUAUGCGCUUCUAGCGAGUCGACUUGAGCCGGUGGUUGCCAGUUACUUUGCGAAACAUAGCUUUGGGCAGGUAGACUGCUUCGGGACCUUGGUUACGACGCUGGAUGAAGAGGAAGCGGCUGCGUUGGGCGACCCUGAAGUGCAGCGACUGCCGGUACCGACACCAGUGCCAGUGCAGCGACUACCAGCGUGCCUGGACCGCGACGCCAUUGGCGACACGAGUCUCCAACAGCUGGUGACGCGGCUUCGACGGGACUUGUUGCGCCUGAUCAAACUCGUUUUAUUAGAAAGGCGCGUUUUGGUCGUUGGGUCAUCAGUCGCGCUCGUGGCUUAGGCAGUGCUUUCGCUGGCCAGUAUUUUCCCGGCCGAGUGGCUGGAGCCGCCACCGAACUCGGGGCGGGACGCUGCACUCGACCUAGUAACGUCCUGCACACUAGCACAACUUCCUUUGGUCUGUUCGACCUGUAUGGAAGCACGGGCGUGAUUCGUGUUGAACCGUAUGUGCCGCUGGCGUCUCUACAACCAACGUUAGCCGAACGAGACGCUGAUACUGCUGCUGCCACAACAACGCGCUGGAUCGUUGGGGUAUUUACACCUGCCGGUCGACUACUUGCGGAUGCUUGUCGGUCUGCUGGGGUCUUUGAACGCUCACCGGUGCGUUCUCUAUUCGUAACGGGGCGCUCGGCGUCUGCGCAGGCACCACACUCGGUACCUGAGUCGAUGUCUCCGGAGCGCAGCGACACCAGGCCAGCCAAGGCGUCGCCAGCGGCCUUGCGCCUAGCCUCGGUGCGCGACGGGUAGACUUGUGUCGAGGCACUGUGCUUUGCGCGUUUUUAACGGGGCGAUGCGCCCAGCGCGCUCACUGAGCGCAUCUGGGAGAUCGGGCAGUCAACUGAUGCGACGCACUUGUCGCCGUUGAAGGGAAACGCGAUCCUGAUCAAUAGCGUGCUGCUCUAAUGUGCAAGCUGUACUUGCGUUAAAGACGUGGCAAAGUACAGUCUUUCAGUUCGUUUUUGCUUCAAACCUCAAACAAGUCUAGUCAAGUGUUUUUUCGCAGUAUAUAACACAAGGGUUCAAAGAGGGUUCUUUUUCAAAAAAAAACUA